rnacentral:rRNA from 1 species
GUCUACAGCCAUGCGACCCUGAACACACCUGAUCUCGUCUGAUCUUGGAAGCUACGCAGGGUGGGGGUCUGGCUAGUACUUUGAUGACAGAAAUAAAUGUCUGUGAUUU